rnacentral:rRNA from 1 species
GAUGAACGCUGGCGGCGUGCCUAAUACAUGCAAGUCGAGCGAACGGACGAGAAGCUUGCUUCUCUGAUGUUAGCGGCGGACGGGUGAGUAACACGUGGAUAACCUACCUAUAAGACUGGGAUAACUUCGGGAAACCGGAGCUAAUACCGGAUAAUAUUUUGAACCGCAUGGUUCAAAAGUGAAAGACGGUCUUGCUGUCACUUAUAGAUGGAUCCGCGCUGCAUUAGCUAGUUGGUAAGGUAACGGCUUACCAAGGCAACGAUGCAUAGCCGACCUGAGAGGGUGAUCGGCCACACUGGAACUGAGACACGGUCCAGACUCCUACGGGAGGCAGCAGUAGGGAAUCUUCCGCAAUGGGCGAAAGCCUGACGGAGCAACGCCGCGUGAGUGAUGAAGGUCUUCGGAUCGUAAAACUCUGUUAUUAGGGAAGAACAUAUGUGUAAGUAACUGUGCACAUCUUGGCGGUACCUAAUCAGAAAGCCACGGCUAACUACGUG